rnacentral:rRNA from 1 species
AACGAACGCUGGCGGCGUGCCUAACACAUGCAAGUCGAACGCACCGCAAGGUGAGUGGCGCACGGGUGAGGAAUACAUGGGAAUCUACCUUUCUGUUCGGAACAACACCGGGAAACUGGUGCUAAUACCGGAUACGCCCUUCGGGGGAAAGAUUUAUCGCGGAGAGAUGAGCCCAUGUCGGAUUAGCUAGUUGGUGAGGUAAUGGCUCACCAAGGCGACGAUCCGUAGCUGGUCUGAGAGGAUGAUCAGCCACACUGGGACUGAGACACGGCCCAGACUCCUACGGGAGGCAGCAGUGGGGAAUAUUGGACAAUGGGGGAAACCCUGAUCCAGCAACGCCGCGUGAGGGAUGACGGCCUUCGGGUUGUAAACCUCUUUUAGCAGGGAAGAAGCGAAAGUGACGGUACCUGCAGAAAAAGCGCCGGCUAACCACGUGCCAGCAGCCGCUGUAACAC